CAGUAGCCGCGGUAAUACGAAGGGUGUAAGCGUUACUCGGAAUUACUGGGCGUAAAGCGUGCGUAGGUGGUGGUUUAAGUCCGUUGUGAAAGCCCUGGGCUCAACCUGGGAAUUGCAGUGGAUACUGGGUCACUAGAGUGUGGUAGAGGAUAGUGGAAUUUCCGGUGUAGCAGUGAAAUGCGUAGAGAUCGGAAGGAACAUCUGUGGCGAAGGCGACUAUCUGGGCCAACACUGACACUGAGGCACGAAAGCGUGGGGAGCAAACAGGAUUAGAUACCCCCGUAGUCCCUGUCUCUUAUAC
rnacentral:rRNA from 1 species